rnacentral:tRNA from 1 species
ACUAUUUUGGCAGAAAAGUGCCAUGAAUUUAGAAUUCUUAAAUGUAAGAUUGUCUUACAAGUAGUA